rnacentral:rRNA from 1 species
UAGGGAAUCUUCCACAAUGGGCGCAAGCCUGAUGGAGCAACACCGCGUGAGUGAAGAAGGGUUUCGGCUCGUAAAGCUCUGUUGUUAAAGAAGAACACGUAUGAGAGUAACUGUUCAUACGUUGACGGUAUUUAACCAGAAAGUCACGGUUAACUAGUGCCA